GCCCAUCCUUGGCAUGAUCUUGAAACAGGUAAAGAGGCCCCUGUUGUGUUCAAUGUGUUUACAAAUUUCAAGUACUC